GUGCUUUCUACAAAGUGGACGUUUCACCUUGCCUGCUUCAACUCUUCUUUAGCUAAAGUCUUGCAUUUCCAUACGCAAAAAAAACGCGUUUGAAUGGAAUCAUAUUCAAUUCUCCAUAUUUGAAAGUUACAAGGUGCAGUCGCUAUUAAUUUCUGUCAGCUUCCCUUGUGCCUUGUGGGGGGAGCUUUCCUUAAAAAUGGACUUCAGAAAAACUCAGUUGUAGCAUUUGGCUUCAUAUUUGGUGUCAAGCAACCCCAAUUCUGUCCUUCUGCAUUUGUUUGUAUCAUUCGUCUUAUUUAUUUGUCGUCAAUGGUUGUUCCCAUGCAAAUACAAGUGUAAUAAGUUGAACCAACUGCUAUAAAAUAUGGUUAUGGUCUCUGCCCAAAUUAACUUCAUGGGCAGAAGAGGGAGGGGCAAACUCAGACCAAAAGCUCUUAUAAGACUUAUUUGAUUUUUAAUUUGUUUUAUAAAAGAUUAAAAAAAA